rfam:Nitrospina sp. SCGC_AAA799_A02 AAA799A02_51, whole genome shotgun sequence.
UCCAUCGCGAGGUGGAAUCUGAAGGAAGCCGCAGGCAAAACGCUGGCCCGACGAACAGAAAUCGCACGACCGGACUGAAGGCCCGAACAUGUUGUACGGGAUAGGAGCCUUGAAUUUCGACGAGGCAGUAGAGGCAGAAGGUUGC